rnacentral:rRNA from 1 species
UACGUAGGGUGCGAGCGUUAAUCGGAAUUACUGGGCGUAAAGCGUGCGCAGGCGGCGCGUUAAGACAGGUGUGAAAGCCCCGAGCUUAACUUGGGAAUUGCAUUCGAGACUGCAUGGCUAGAAUCUGGCAGAGGGGGGGUGGAAUUCCACGUGUAGCGGUGAAAUGCGUAGAGAUGUGGAGGAACACCGAUGGCGAAGGCAGCCUUCUGGGGCCAAUACUGGACGCUGAGGUGCGAAAGCGAUGGGGA